rnacentral:rRNA from 1 species
AUUGAACGCUGGCGGCAGGCUUAACACAUGCAAGUCGAGCGGAGAGAGGUAGCUUGCUACUGAUCUUAGCGGCGGACGGGUGAGUAAUGCUUAGGAAUCUGCCUAUUAGUGGGGGACAACAUUUCGAAAGGAAUGCUAAUACCGCAUACGUCCUACGGGAGAAAGCAGGGGAUCUUCGGACCUUGCGCUAAUAGAUGAGCCUAAGUCGGAUUAGCUAGUUGGUGGGGUAAAGGCCUACCAAGACGACGAUCUGUAGCGGGUCUGAGAGGAUGAUCCGCCACACUGGGACUGAGACACGGCCCAGACUCCUACGGGAGGCAGCAGUGGGGAAUAUUGGACAAUGGGCGCAAGCCUGAUCCAGCCAUGCCGCGUGUGUGAAGAAGGCCUUAUGGUUGUAAAGCACUUUAAGCGAGGAGGAGGCUACUUUGGUUAAUACCUAGAGAUAGUGGACGUUACUCGCAGAAUAAGCACCGGCUAACUCUGUGCCAGCCGCCGCGGUAAAAC